GACAGAACAAAAAGAAGCGGAAACACGACGGGACUCAUUUGAAGCUGCGGAGCAGAAAGACAGCAGUCGCUUAGAAACUCACUCCGACGAUUUAAAAUCUUUCACCGUGUUGUUUGCUGAGGAUGCCUGCAGCAUUGUUGCCUGCAGUCUACCUAAGGGUUGCGUCAGUCACCGGGCAUAAUGACCUUCAGGGACACCGUACAGACGCUGCUCGUCUGUCACCAUGGAUGAUGCGAGGGCAAGAAGAAGAAAGUCACUGGCUCUACUGAAACUGGGAACAGGGUGAAAGUCUCAGUAGCAGCACUCGUGUCCAUCAAAGUGAAACCAGUGAAAUCCUGAACCACUGUGAUGAUCAUGGCCUGUGAAGCUGACUGGAUGUGAAAGGAGUGUCUGGAUCCUGGUUGAGGACCUUUUUUUUGAAGGCAAUCACCUUUUGGAGGACAGCAGAAAGUCUCUGCAGGCAGUGCCUUCAUAAUUCUUGUCUAGUCGAAGGAAGCGUCACUGGUGAUGGUGCUUAUUGCCUGGCUGACCAUUAAAAUAAAAAAAAAAAAGAAGCUGCACUGCAGAGGAGGAUUUUCCCACCAUCUCAGUCUUCGUAUGCAGAGAUUUUUGUUAAUGAAAAGAUCCAACUGUUAGACAGUAUAUUUUGUCUGGAAUAUACAUGUCAUAAAAUGUUUUGACAUAAUGGCACUGACCAACAUUCAAUAAAAGCAUUAGUGUGAAUUUU